GCGCUGUUGGUGUAGUGGUAACACACAACCUGCAAAGUUGUUAGUAUGAGGUUGGUCCCGGGUUCGAGCCCCGGACGGCGCA